GCUCCCGUCCCCGAAAGAAAAAAGCGAGCGCUCCACACGGGGGUCGAUACAGAGGAGGGGAUCGGUCAUCGGCGACAGAGGGAUCGAGCCGCGCCUGAUGCAGGCGACGAGGUCGAUCGAUCCAGCCGACGCGCGCGCAUUGCGGCCGACGCGGGCGAUCGCCUGCGAGGGGAUCGAGCUGUCGGUGCAAGACGGGAUCCAGCGGACGCACACAUUGCGGGGUGACUCGGUGGGCGCUCGAUCCAGCCGACACUGUCGAUUGGGCUUCGAGGGACAAAGGGAAGGGACGCGAGCGAUGAAGGCCGACGCCUCAGCUGAUCGAAACUGCUCCGCGGUACUUAUAGACGCAAUAAUAAUUCAGUUUAUGAGCCCACAUUCACGCCGAGGGUUACAGAGGUACUCCCUCCGUAAACUAAUAUAAGAGUGUUUAGAUGACUAUUUUAGUGAUCUAAACGCUCUUAUAUUAGUUUACUGAGGGAGUAUAUGCCUAUAUAUGCUUCCUCCCCUGCCACUCUUCGCUCACCCUGAUGCUGGGUAGGUUUCCUCUUUUCAGUUCAUGUAAGAUUCAGUGCCAAGCAAUUACAUUAUUCUGGCAUCUUUGAGCAUGAUACUCGGGUAGGUUGCCUCUUUUCAGUUCAGGCUGUCUAUACUCGACUGAUUUGGGCACAUCUUAGAGCUUGGUACUGGGAUUAUUUGUUCGGCAGUUCAUAAUAUGAAUUGGCUUUUGGACAGCAUGCAAGAGAAAAUCCCCUUAACCAUGUUCUGUUCUGCUCUGCUCAUGUUCUGAUUAUGUUAAUCAUCUGGCCAGUUGACAAGGGAACCUACCCUGAAUCUCUUCCUAUGAUCUUAUUCAACUUGUGAGUUGCACUCGCGCCGAAAACAAAUUGGAUCGUGGGCGGAGCACAUAAUUGCGAAGUGGAGCUGCUCAGAUCGCUGUCGUUCUAGACUGAUCCUCCAAAUAUUGCAGGAAAAAAGUAGAUCAUGCCGAUGGCAGUGGCCGGCGUCACUUCCUCGAUUCUCAACGGGUCUGUGUAUUUCACCUUCUGUGCAUCGCCUACUUUCUACAAUAAGUUAAUUACUCGAUUUGGUCUCCGUGAUGUCGAAUGGGAGAGGAAGACGAGAGGCUGAGCACGAAAGCAUGCCAAGGAGAGUUGAACUCAUCACAUAUGUGUUUGGGCCCUCCCCACCUCGACCUCUACCGGCGGUGCCCUUCUCAUGGUUACAGCAGCGUCUAUAUAUUUAGGAAACUUUCGAUCGUUAUAUGGUCCAAAUGGACGGGCGUGGCAACGUGGUUAGAAGCAUCUCUACAAGGAGGAAUUCGAGCUAUGUGCUGCUUGGUUUCUUUUGUUCUUCCAGCUGAAUCUGCCGGCAUACAAUAGCUAACGGACAGGCCAGUAUCAGUAUGCUCUUAUGCCUCAUCUCACUAUCUUAGUUGUACUAUGUACCCUUUAUUCGUAUGAUAUGAUUUCACUCUCUAUGAUUGUUUGAAAUAAUCAAAGUACACAUACUGUUCCUGCCCUAUGUAGCAGGUUAUUGAGCAAGGGAAAAAUGCGCAAAAGAAAGACAAAUGUCGUACAAGGCCUGAGGGAUCAAAUAAAAAUAUUGUUCUUCCCAGACCAAAAUGAACAAAACGUACCUAUUAUAAACUUGCAGACCAACCUUCUUAUUACCACAAGCUUAUUUUUACACUGUCCUGCCCAGGUACAAGGUGGGUCUUAUUGAUGCUGAUGAAUUAGGGGAACCUGAGUUUGUGUUCUUUGCUUCAGUUGCUGAACAAGCUAUUGGCAAGAGACUUGAAGUUAUCAUGCACGGUGCAUCAGACAGCCCAUUUGUUGUUCCUGCAGAGUUAUCAGUCUUGAUAUCAGAAAUUCACACUUCCCUUAACUAUCAAUGAGAAGGGCCUUAACCACGGGCAACUCUCUUUCUAAGUGAACGGAACAUCAACAGAGACAUCUGUGUAAGCUAGCAAGAUGGAUAAUCCUACCAAUGAACACAUUCCAGGAACUGUUGAAGCAUGACAGAAGGCCCAGUCCAAGAUCAUACUUCCAGAUGAAUUUAGAAAUGCCAGCCCGACAACAAAUCUAAUAGCCCAAUAUCCUUGCCUUGUUUAAUCCUCCUGUCAUCUCAUGUAUACCUCUGGCUUUCAAUAUUCAAUAAAGGAUGGAGCUACACAACUAAAAACAAAA